GGGUGUGUGGCGCAGUGGUAGCGCGCCUCAUUCGCAUUCGGGUGUUGGCCUGAUAUAUUAGCCUUGAGGAGGUCUAGGGUUCGAGUCCCUACUCAUCCA